rnacentral:rRNA from 1 species
CCUACGGGCGGCUGCAGUGGGGAAUAUUGGACAAUGGGCGCAAGCCUGAUCCAGCAAUGCCGCGUGAGUGAUGAAGGCCUUCGGGUUGUAAAGCUCUUUCGCACGCGACGAUGAUGACGGUAGCGUGAGAAGAAGCCCCGGCUAACUUCGUGCCAGCAGCCGCGGUAAUACGAAGGGGGCUAGCGUUGUUCGGAAUUACUGGGCGUAAAGGGCGCGUAGGCGGUGUGUCAAGUCAGGCGUGAAAGCCCCGGGCUCAACCUGGGAACUGCGCUUGAGACUGGCACGCUCGAGUUCGGGAGAGGAUGGUGGAAUUCCCAGUGUAGAGGUGAAAUUCGUAGAUAUUGGGAAGAACACCGAUGGCGAAGGCAGCCAUCUGGACCGACACUGACGCUGAGGCGCGAAAGCGUGGGGAGCAAACAGGAUUAGAUACCCUGGUAGUC